rnacentral:rRNA from 1 species
AUUGAACGCUGGCGGCAGGCCUAACACAUGCAAGUCGAACGGUAACAGGAAGCAGCUUGCUGUUUCGCUGACGAGUGGCGGACGGGUGAGUAAUGUCUGGGAAACUGCCUGAUGGAGGGGGAUAACUACUGGAAACGGUAGCUAAUACCGCAUAACGUCGCAAGACCAAAGAGGGGGACCUUCGGGCCUCUUGCCAUCGGAUGUGCCCAGAUGGGAUUAGCUUGUUGGUGGGGUAACGGCUCACCAAGGCGACGAUCCCUAGCUGGUCUGAGAGGAUGACCAGCCACACUGGAACUGAGACACGGUCCAGACUCCUACGGGAGGCAGCAGUGGGGAAUAUUGCACAAUGGGCGCAAGCCUGAUGCAGCCAUGCCGCGUGUAUGAAGAAGGCCUUCGGGUUGUAAAGUACUUUCAGCGGGGAGGAAGGGAGUAAAGUUAAUACCUUUACUCAUUGACGUUACCCGCAGAAGAAGCACCGGCUAACUCCGUGCCAGCAGCCGCCGUAA